rnacentral:rRNA from 1 species
AGAGUUUGAUCCUGGCUCAGAACGAACGCUGGCGGCAGGCUUAACACAUGCAAGUCGAGCGCCCCGCAAGGGGAGCGGCAGACGGGUGAGUAACGCGUGGGAAUCUACCCUGAACUGCGGAAUAGCUCCGGGAAACUGGAAUUAAUACCGCAUGUGCCCUGAGGGGCAAAGAUUUAUCGGUUCAGGAUGAGCCCGCGUCCGAUUAGCUAGUUGGUGGGGUAAAGGCCUACCAAGGCGACGAUCGGUAGCUGGUCUAAGAGGAUGAUCAGCCACAUUGGGACUGAGACACGGCCCAAACUCCUACGGGAGGCAGCAGUGGGGAAUAUUGGACAAUGGGCGCAAGCCUGAUCCAGCCAUGCCGCGUGAGUGAUGAAGGCCCUAGGGUUGUAAAGCUCUUUCGUCGAGUGCGCGAUCAUGACAGGACUCGAGGAAGAAGCCCCGGCUAACUCCGUG